rnacentral:pre_miRNA from 1 species
UGAAUGGAUAGGGAGGGGGUUUUGAUUGAGUGUUUUUGUAAAAUUUAGCGGUUUUGUUUUUGGCGGGAAGGUCGGGACAAGGAACAAUGUUCCCCACUGAUAUUGCACUUGUCCCGGCUCGUCCGCUGCCGCCAUCUUGCUUCAAACUUGACUUCGGCACUCUUUUUACUUCAAGCCACCCGUUCUGCAGCCUUCCUCUUC